rnacentral:rRNA from 1 species
UGCCAGAGAUGGCUUGGUGCUCGAAAGAGAGCCGUAACACAGGUGCUGCAUGGCUGUCGUCAGCUCGUGUCGUGAGAUGUUGGGUUAAGUCCCGCAACGAGCGCAACCCUUGUCAUUAGUUGCUACAUUCAGUUGGGCACUCUAAUGAGACUGCCGGUGACAAGCCGGAGGAAGGUGGGGAUGACGUCAAGUCCUCAUGGCCCUUAUAGGUGGGGCUACACACGUCAUACAAUGGCUGGUACAAAGGGUUGCCAACCCGCGAGGGGGAGCUAAUCCCACAAAGCCAGUCGUAGUCCGGAUCGUAGUCUGCGACUCGACUACGUGAAGUCGGAAUCGCUAGUAAUCGUGGAUCAGAAUGUCACGGUGAAUACGUUCCCGGGUCUUGUACACACCGCCCGUCACACCAUGGGAGCGGGUUCUGCCAGAAGUAGUUAGCUUAACCGCAAGGAGGGCGAUUACCACGGCAGGGUUCGUGACUGGGGUGAAGUCGUAACAAGGUAGCCGU